rnacentral:rRNA from 1 species
UACGUAGGUGGCAAGCGUUGUCCGGAUUUAUUGGGCGUAAAGAGCUCGUAGGCGGUUCGUCGCGUCGGCUGUGAAAUCCCGAGGCUCAGCCUCGGGUCUGCAGUCGAUACGGGCGGACUGGAGUUCGGCGAGGGGAGACGUGGAAUUCCGGUGUGUGCGGUGAAAUGCGCAGAUAUCAGGAGGAACACCGGUGGCGAAGGCGGGUCUCUGGGCCGAUGACUGACGCUGGAGGAGCGAAAGCGUGGGGAGCGAACAGGA